GAUGAACGCUGGCGGCGUGCCUAAUACAUGCAAGUCGAGCGAACAGACGAGGAACUUGCUCCUCUGACGUUAGCGGCGGACGGGUGAGUAAAACGUGGAUAACCUACCUAUAAGACUGGGAUAACUUCGGGAAACCGGAGCUAAUACCGGAUAAUAUAUUGAACCGCAUGGUUCAAUAGUGAAAGACGGUUUUGCUUUCACUUAUAGAUGGAUCCGCGCCGCAUUAGCUAGUUGGUAAGGUAACGGCUUACCAAGGCAACGAUGCGUAGCCGACCUGAGAGGGUGACCGGCCACACUGGAACUGAGACACGGUCCAGACUCCUACGGGAGGCAGCAGUAGGGAAUCUUCCGCAAUGGGCGAAAGCUUGACGGAGCAACGCCGCGUGAGUGAUGAAGGUCUUCGGAUCGUAAAACUCUGUUAUUAGGGAAGAACAAAUGUGUAAGUAACUAUGCACGUCUUGACGGUACCUAAUCAGAAAGCCACGGCUAACUACGUG
rnacentral:rRNA from 1 species